rnacentral:rRNA from 1 species
CACGUAGGGGGCGAGCGUUGUCCGGAUUUAUUGGGCGUAAAGAGCUCGUAGGCGGUUCAGUAAGUCGGGUGUGAAAACUCCAGGCUCAACCUGGAGACGCCACCCGAUACUGCUGUGGCUAGAGUCCGGUAGGGGAGCAUGGAAUUCCUGGUGUAGCGGUGAAAUGCGCAGAUAUCAGGAGGAACACCGGUGGCGAAGGCGGGAUCCUGGGCCAGUACUGACGCUGAGGAGCGAAAGCGUGGGGAGCAAACAGG